rnacentral:tRNA from 2 species
GCCGUCGUCGUCGAGCACGCGAACCAGGCUGUAGGCCAGGUCGCUGGUCUCGGCGGGUUCGACGUCCACCGGCGGCU